UGGCAGGUGGCGCAGGUGGCAGGUGGCGCCGGCACUUAGCCACCAAGGGUGGAGGAGGGCCUUCAGGAGGAGGAAACUAGCGGCGAGCAGGGGGUCAGAGGAGCAUAUAAGAGAGUACGAAUUCCAUCUGCCGUGUUCACAGCGCCAUCCCCAGAACCUACAACAGUGUCGGCUUCUAGUAGGUGAUCGCUAAAUAUUUUUUGAGUAAAUAAACGAAUGACUCAUGUCGUGCUGGAGGGGGACUGUGGGACAAGCAUCCAGGAGGACUGGAGAUCUCCAGGAGGGACGUCUGAGCAAACAAGAAUGUCCCACACGUGGAGGUCACUAAGCCCAGGCUGUGUCUGAGAUGGUUCUAAGAGAGUAAGAGAGAAUGCACAGAAAGAAACCGGAUCACCUCCUAUGCCCCCAGCGCCUGCACAAAGCCUGGCACACAGCAGGUGUUGCGUGUUGGUUGACUGAAUUAAUAGAUGAACCUGCUCUUCGGCGAGGAGUGAGACUUCCUGUGCAUAAGGGGCUCGAGCAGGAAGACAGCUGGCCGAGAGCGUGCGCUGGGGUCCAGAAGGUUGCCUCAGCUUCACAGAUGGAUCUUGGCCCAGGACAGCUGCUGUGAAAGGUCCCUUUAGACGAGAGAAGCCACACCCAUUCACUUACUGGACCCAGGCUGGUGGUGGAGUCAUAAAAGUGGCCCUGGACCCAGAAGAGGAGGCCAUGCCCAGACGCACUACCAUCAGCCAGGGGCGUUGAGAUUCCGUCCCAGGACAAUGAUCAUCAGCCUGACUUCCGAUUCUGAUUCAGGGAGUUAAUGGCAAAGCUGAGACUGGAGGCUGGGCCACUGGACCUUUCUACAAGAUCCUUCCAGUCUCUCCUUGAUCUUGACUUUGUUAACAUUUUAACUCUUUCAUAACUGUUUGCAGAGGAUCAGAAAGACAGAGCCCACACUGUGUGCCUGGGCUUGUGCCCCUUGCAGAUACGGGUGGUCCUGCAGGCAACAUGAUCUUCUCAGGGCACUUUGAGUGGACUUCGGGUCAGAGGGAACAACGCUGGCUAACGGGGCUGUUACUCUGUACUGGGCCCUGGGCCAGAUGCUUCAUGUGCAUUAACUCACUGGAUCCUCACAACAGUAUCCCCACUGUGCAGAUGAAAACGCCGAGGCACAGAGAGGUUAUGUAAUUUGCCCAUGGUCACACAGCUAGUGAGUGGUGAAGCCAGGAUCAAACCCAGGCAGUCUGGCGCCUCAGCCUGAGCUCUUCCCAUCACUCCAGAGAGCCUGUGCCAGGUCUUGGGAAACAGGCAGGGAAUAGUCUGUUGAUGUUUCCUGGGUGCCCUGCUGCCACUGCCCUGGCUCAGCCCACAUCUCUCGCACCUGACCGCAUUCCAGCCUCUCCACUGAGUACCAUGGCUGUAGCGUAGCCCACCCAACCAUCCGCUACUCCCGCCUGCAGGACCAUGCCAACACAGAGAGCCUCCUGACACGACACUCCCGUUGUUCCUCCCCAGCCCUCUUUAAUGGCUCCCAAUUGUCUGAUUUCUGGGUGUUCCCAACCCAUCUAGUCUGAUCUCCCACCACACCUUUCAUGGAUCCUGACAGCCAAACAAGGAUUUACCAACUUGUUCAUACAACACUUUUCCCACCUUCCAGCCUUUAUCCAAGCUGUUCUUCCUGCCUGGAAUGCCUGUUCUCACCCGCCCAUGGCUCUUUCAUGACUGCUUCCCAGGCCCUGUGCUUGGCAGGUGCUCACCAACGGGAUACUAUGUGUCCAUGUUGCUUUGUUGCAGAGGAAUUUUUAUUUUUUCUCUUUCUGGAUCCUAAAAAGAAUACAAGUUCACAUUAGAAAAUCUGGAAAAUUGAGACAAUCUCUCAGAGAAAAAUUAAAGAUAGCCUGAAAUCCUACAUCCACUGUCAAUAUUUUGAUAUAUAUCUUUUCAAUCUUUCUUUUCAUUUUUAAUAUUGUGAAAUAUUUCAAACACAGACAGAAUGGAGAAUAAUAUAACAUUCUCUGGUGCAUCCACCUUUUCUUUUAUCAACCCAGUAGUUUUUCUUUUCUUUUUUUUUUAUUAUUAUACUUUAAGUUUUAGGGUACAUGUGCACAAUGUGUAGGUUAGUUACAUAUGUAUACAUGUGACAUGCGGGUGUGCUGCACCCACUAACUCAUCAUCUAGCAUUAGGUAUAUCUCCCAAUGCUCUCCCUCCCUCCUCCCCCCACCCGACAACAGUCCCCAGAGUGUGAUGUUCCCCUUCCUGUGUCCAUGUGUUCUCAUUGUUCAAUUCCCACCUAUGAGUGAGAAUAUGCGGUGUUUGGUUUUUUUGUUCUUGCAAUAGUUUACUGAGAAUGAUGAUUUCCAAUUUCAUCCAUGUCCCUACAAAGGACAUGAACUCAUCAUUUUUUAUGGCUGCAUAGUAUUCCAUGGUGUAUAUGUGCCACAUUUUCUUUUUUUUUUUUUUUGAGACGGAGUCUCGCUCUGUCGCCCAGGCCGGGCUGCGGACUGCAGUGGCGCAAUCUCGGCUCACUGCAAGCUCCG
rnacentral:lncRNA from 10 species